GAUGAUAGCAAUGGAAAUCUUUUGAGGUUCAAGUGCGUCUCCUAGAGGUGGAAACUUACCCUAUAUCUGAGUUAUCCUUCUUACACAUUCACCAUCAAGCUCAUGAGGCAUCUCAGCCCUCCUUGUUCAGCAAAGGGGUACCCAAAGAUCUGAGAUAUCUUUAUCUGUAAUCCAAAUACCAGGCAAUAGAUGCUGCGGAGGCCCACUAAAUUGUUGUUGGUGACAUCUUUUGAUUGACAUUCUAGCCAUUUGGUUCUGUUGUCAAAGAUGGCCCCAUGUUUUAACUUGGUGAACAUUCAAACUCUGACCAAAAUUCUCAUUGGAGAAAGGAAAAUGGAAAACUUCCCUUGAAGCUUGCAAAGAUCACGAGAGAUUUGUUGGUAUUUUUGACAUAUCGAAAAUGUUUUUCAAUAUUUCACCGAUUGAGAGUUAGAGAGAGCUUAAUUUAGCUUUGAUUUUCAAUUCAAUUAUGCUACUAUAUAAUUA